AACUCUGUCUGGCUUCCUAGAGGAGAGGGAGGGAUGAGAAAGGGUCUCCGAGCGCAACAGGACAUGGAGAAAGAGCGAGAGACUCUGCAGGCCUGGAAGGAGCGCGUGGGGCAGGAGCUGGACCGCGUGGUGGCUUUCUGGAUGGAGCACUCCCACGACCAGGAGCACGGGUACUCGGCGUGCUUCUGGAGUCCUCUGCAGGGUUUUUGCCCUUCCUGAGGCCCCUUCUCACUCUCAGGCACCUCACAGAUUUGCUGGCCCCAGAGGGGCAGGAGGGGCUGGCAAGGCCCCUUCCAGACUUUGCUAACUCUGCCUUCCCACAGGGGCUUCUUCACGUGCCUUGGCCGCGAGGGGCGGGUGUAUGAUGACCUCAAGUAUGUGUGGCUGCAGGGGAGGCAGGUAUGGAUGUAUUGUCGCCUGUACCGCACUUUCGAGCGCUUCCGCCAUGCUCAGCUUCUGGACGCAGCAAAAGCAGGUGGUGAGUUCUUGCUGCGUUAUGCCCGGGUGGCACCUCCUGGCAAGAAGUGUGCCUUUGUGCUGACUCGGGACGGCCGCCCGGUCAAGGUGCAGCGGACCAUCU
rnacentral:sRNA from 1 species